GAACCUUAGAAAGUGCCUCAAACG
rnacentral:siRNA from 1 species